UACAGAGGUGGCAAGCGUUGUUCGGAAUUACUGGGCGUAAAGGGCGCGUAGGCGGCCUUCUAAGUCGGACGUGCACGCCCCAGGCUUAACCUGGGAACUGCGUCCGAUACUGGGAGGCUUGGAUUCGGGAGAGGGAUGUGGAAUUCCAGGUGUAGCGGUGAAAUGCGUAGAUAUCUGGAGGAACACCGGUGGCGAAGGCGGCCUUCUGGACUAAAACUGACACUGAGGUGCGAAAGCGUGGGUAGCAAACAGG
rnacentral:rRNA from 1 species